CCAAUGAGACGUGCGAUAGGGGGAUCCCAAGUGCACAGGCAUAGCGCCUAGCUGCUUUUCUGCGCUACCGCUAAGGCGGUACCAGAAUAAGGGCUGGGCAAGACCGGUGCCAGCCGCCGCGGUAAUACCGGCAGCCCAAGUGAUGGCCGAUCUUAUUGGGCCUAAAGCGUCCGUAGCUGGCCACGCAAGUCCAUCGGGAAAUCCACCUGCCCAACAGGUGGACGCCCGGUAGAAACUGCGUGGCUUGGGACCGGAAGGCGCGACGGGUACGUCCGGGGUAGGAGUGAAAUCCCGUAAUCCUGGACGGACCGCCGAUGGCGAAAGCACGUCGCGAGAACGGAUCCGACAGUGAGGGACGAAAGCCAGGGUCUCGAACCGGAUUAGAUACCCGGGUAGUCCUGGCCGUAAACAAUGCCUGCUAGGUGUGGCUCCCACUACGAGUGGGUGCUGUGCCGUAGGGAAGCCGCUAAGCAGGCCGCCUGGGAAGUACGUCCGCAAGGAUGAAACUUAAAGGAAUUGGCGGGGGGAGCACA
rnacentral:rRNA from 1 species